GCGCUCUUGGUGUAAUGGUAACACGCUGCUUUCCUGUGCAAUUGCAACUCAUCGGCAGAGCAGAGACGGGGUUCGACUCCCCGAGGGCACA